rnacentral:rRNA from 1 species
UACGUAGGGGGCGAGCGUUGUCCGGAUUUAUUGGGCGUAAAGAGCUCGUAGGUGGUUUGUCGCGUUGUUCGUGAAAACUCACAACUCAAUUGUGGGCGUGCGGGCGAUACGGGCAGACUGGAGUACUGCAGGGGAGACUGGAAUUCCUGGUGUAGCGGUGGAAUGCGCAGAUAUCAGGAGGAACACCGGUGGCGAAGGCGGGUCUCUGGGCAGUAACUGACGCUGAGGAGCGAAAGCGUGGGGAGCGAACAGG